rnacentral:rRNA from 1 species
CCCGUUGAACUCAAUCACUCCGGGCUGGGCGAUAUUCAUUUCUGGCCCGGCACACUCUCGGGCCGGAAGGCACUUAUCGCCCGGCGAAACGCCACACGGACAUCACGAUCCAUUACCACACCCCCGCCCAGUUUCGACGGGCGUCGUGGGAUUCUGGCAGCAGGCCCUGACCGGCUCCGAUCGUCGACCCCUCGGUAGUGCCCCAGCCGGCGUGCUGGUGCGCGAAGCAGGGGACCGCCUCGCCGUUCGCGGCGGGGCCGGGCAUCGACCGGGCCACUCGCGGGUCGCCAGAAGCGUGAUGGAUGCAACAGUUCGCUGGACGCGUUCACCCUUCGGGCUGGAACUUCAUUCAGUGCCGGAAUUUACUUUCAGGCUGAAGUGAGCGCACGUCCACGGAUCGGUGAUGACACUCGACAUUGAGUACCUUCGGG